ACGGGUGAGUAAUGUCUGGGGAUCUGCCCGAUAGAGGGGGAUAACCACUGGAAACGGUGGCUAAUACCGCAUAACGUCGCAAGACCAAAGAGGGGGACCUUCGGGCCUCUCACUAUCGGAUGAACCCAGAUGGGAUUAGCUAGUAGGCGGGGUAAUGGCCCACCUAGGCGACGAUCCCUAGCUGGUCUGAGAGGAUGACCUGCCACACUGGAACUGAGACACGGUCCAGACUCCUACGGGAGGCAGCAGUGGGGAAUAUUGCACAAUGGGCGCAAGCCUGAUGCAGCCAUGCCGCGUGUAUGAAGAAGGCCUUCGGGUUGUAAAGUACUUUCAGCGGGGAGGAAGGCGACGGGGUUAAUAACCCUGUCGAUUGACGUUACCCGCAGAAGAAGCACCGGCUAACUCCGUGCCAGCAGCCGCGGUAAUACGGAGGGUGCAAGCGUUAAUCGGAAUUACUGGGCGUAAAGCGCACGCAGGCGGUCUGUUAAGUCAGAUGUGAAAUCCCCGGGCUUAACCUGGGAACUGCAUUUGAAACUGGCAGGCUUGAGUCUUGUAGAGGGGGGUAGAAUUCCAGGUGUAGC
rnacentral:rRNA from 1 species